AAGUCGUAACAAGGUUUCCGUAGGUGAACCUGCGGAAGGAUCAUUACACUCAGUAGAUUUCUACUGCUCGGGGGGAGCGGAAAGUGCUUUUGCACGAGUACGCUCUCUUUCUGAAACCCUUGUCUUUUUGCGUACUUCUGUUUCCUCGGCGGGUUCGCCCGCCGGCUGGACAACUCAAAUAACCUUUUUAAUUUUCAAUCAGCGUCUGAAUAAUUAUAAUAAUUACAACUUUCAACAACGGAUCUCUUGGUUCUG
rnacentral:misc_RNA from 1 species